ACUGCGCUGCCGCCGCACAGAGCCUGGCGAAGGCUUGGGCUGCCCGCGCGGUGACCGUCGAGGUGACCCGCACCUGGCUCCAUGGCGGAACCGGCCGGCGUGGAUUAUUCCCCUCUCGGGAGAGAGGUCUGCAGCCGGGCCUCAGUGCUUCAGUUCGUGGCCUGGCAUUUUGUGAAGAGUGUCUUCAUCUCUGCAUCCCUAGUGCAACAGAGCAUGAUAAAAAUUCAAUAAAUAUUUAUUGCAGAGUCUUGAUGUCUUUUGGGAAAGGAACUCUAUGGUUACCUUUACUCUAAGGCAUGGUGAAGACCCUGUUUCUCUAGCUGUGCAGCUGCAAGGUCACUAGACAGAUAAACUCAAGCCAUAAAACAUGUUUUUCCUUGAAAAAUUAGAAGGGUGUUACUGAUUCUUACCUCAGAGAAGAGAAUGUCAUGGAGACAAAAUGACCUGCUUAGAGUUCUGCGCCCCCCAGCAUGGAGAGCAGAGCGCAAAGAUUUCCUCCAGACUCCCACAUUCUCCCUUGGAAUCCAAGAACUUGUCUACUAUCACAACACUUUAGUACCCACUUCUCCUAAGGAGGCAGCAGAAACCAAGGUAAUCACAAUGGUCAACAGCAGCGAAGGCAGCACUUUCUG
rnacentral:antisense_RNA from 1 species